rnacentral:rRNA from 1 species
UGCCGCGUGAGUGAUGAAGGCCUUCGGGUUGUAAAGCUCUUUUGGCGGGGACGAUGAUGACGGUACCCGCAGAAUAAGCCCCGGCUAACUUCGUGCCAGCAGCCGCGGUAAGACGAAGGGGGCUAGCGUUGUUCGGAAUUACUGGGCGUAAAGCGAGUGUAGGUGGUUGUCCAAGUUGGAUGUGAAAGCCUUGAGCUCAACUCAAGAAAUGCAUUCAGGACUGGGCGACUAGAGGACCGGAGAGGAUAGUGGAAUUCCCAGUGUAGUGGUGAAAUACGUAGAUUUUGGGAAGAACACCAGUGGCGAAGGCGGCUAUCUGGACGGUUUCUGACACUAAGACUCGAAAGCGUGGGGAGCAAACAGGAUUAGAUACCCUGGUAGUCCACGCCGUACACGAUGGGUGCUAGACGUUGGCGAGCUUGCUCGUCAGUGUCGCACCUCACGCGUUAAGCACCCCGCCUGGGGAGUACGGCCGCAGGGUUGAAACUCAAAGGAAUUGACGGGGGCCCGCACAAGCGGUGGAGCAUGUGGUUCAAUUCGACGCAGCGCGCAUAACCUUACCAGCCCUUGACAUGUGACUCGCCGGUCCCAGAGACGGGACCUUCGGUUCGGCCGGAGUCAGC